UCGUGCAGCACCUUGUCUGUCUCUGUCUCAUGAACACUGCUGCACAAAUCUGUCCAACACAACUGUCGAUGUCGGAGAGCGACCUUUAAAAAAGUUAUUAGCAAACUUGUAAGAAGCCUAGCUAAUAAGGAGAGCUAUUUUAACGUUAGUUCACUGCUGGGUUGUCGAGAUAAUCACGCUGUACAUCGCUGGAAGUCAAUACCGACUGUCAUUCUGUGGGAAACGCUGCACUUAAUUGGGAAACAAAGUGCUCUCUCUCUCUCUCUCUCACGGCACAGUGGAGUUUGUGUCGGGGUUCCGUGCUCGGGCACCGUUAGCGAUCACGCUACAGGCGUAUCGUGCAGGAGCGAUCACACUGGUCAAACGAACAGGACUUUGGGGUUUAAACGUGCUCGGGCACGGUACGGAUCGCCUAGUAUGGCUUUUCAGAGAAACAGCUGGUGGUGGAGAGGCUGCACUGCAGGAGUUUAGAUGAUGGCGUCCCAUUAGAGGUGGACAACUUGGUCUAUGUGGAAACUGGUGCAGUGUGAGUCUUGGCAGUGUUGGUGAUAUCCUCCAAAACCAGGCACACAGAGGCUCUCAAGGCAGCACACACCGUAUGGAUGAUACUGUGCACAGCUUUGCCUGAGGGUAAGACUGACCUUUGGUCAAACCAUCUGUGCACUGAAGAGACAUGAGAUCACAUGAUCUGCCUAUCCACUAUGUCUCCCAGCAGGUGAUAAUUAUCAUUGAAUAGCUUUACUCUGAUAUACGAGCUAUGGUAUAGACUCAGUUAUUGUGUGAUUUAUACUUCACAUUAGUUGCAUACUGUUAGUGGUCCAGUCUUGAAACAGUACUUUUAUGAUUUUUUUUAAUGAUGUCAUAAAAACACUUCAUUAUUUCA